rnacentral:misc_RNA from 1 species
GCCGUUAUAUAAUGUAACACUGUUAAAUGCACGUUUUGAAGUUUCCCAUCACUGUAGCCCUACCCCCUUCUCUUGAAAGCCUAGCCUUAGUAGUCUAUUGGUUGUGAAGCACAAAAGCUGCAAUUUGCCUGUUGCAUGCUACUCUCUCUUUUAGCAUUGAACAUGGAAUCUAGGUGAGGAGAAAACAUAUAACGAGUCUUUGAGAUUUCCUUUAUUGAAACAGUUUUUCCACUAAGAAGUCCCCAGUUCCCUCUUAAUACUUUGUACUAGUAUACUUGAAUGCUAAAUAAACUGCAAAUAUGGACCAUCAGAAACUUUCAUUGGUGCUUGGUGCAAUUUGAGCCCUUGCCUUCUGCAGGUAAGAGUAUACACUGUUCUCUAAGUCUACGGUUCCCACUAACAAUGGUUCCUUCUGCUUUCCCUCUUCGAUCUCCCGAAAUAACUUCCACAGUGACUUUUCAGAAGAUUCUGGUUGUUGAUACUUUUAAGGGAAGUUAUUGCAACUAAUGUAGCACGUGUAAAUUGAGAUGGAAAAUCUGUGGACUCUUUUUUAUUGUUACUGGAUUGGGUUCUACUGGAUCUAAAUCAUCAGCAGCGUCUCCAAGCAUGUUAAUAAAUACUCCUAGUCAUCCUGCCCAAGGGACCUCUCAGUUUUGCUUUAUUGAUUUAUUU